rfam:Cryomorphaceae bacterium BACL7 MAG-120910-bin24 contig02145_1_120910-bin24, whole genome shotgun sequence.
UUACGUCUUGGUGGGAGAAGUGAAAUCACCCCGUGAUCUCGUGCCGAAGGAGCAACCGCCCUGGUAAACUCUCAGGCAAAAGGACCCCAAGACUAUA